GCCGAACAUGGUAGCAUGUGCCUGUAGUCCCAGCGACGAGAGGCUGAGGCAGAAGGAAGACUUGGUUGAGUCCAGGAGUUCUGGCCUGUAGUGUGCUAUGCCUAUCAGGUGUCAACACUAAGUCCACAUCAAUAUGGUGACCUUACAGGAGCAGGGGGGACCACUAGGUUGCCUAAGGAGGGGUGAACUGGCCCAGGUUGGAAACAGAGUAGGUCAGUAGUGGGAUUGCACCUGUGAAUGAAUAGCUGCUGUACUCCACCCUGAGCAACAUAACAAUAGCCUCUCUUA
rnacentral:SRP_RNA from 1 species